UUGAAAGGGAAACGAUUGAAGUCAGUCGUACCGGCGGGUAAUCAGCCUUUUGGGUGUGAUUAUGUGGAGCGUGAGGAGCUAAUCGCCUUCAUCUUUGCAUAUUCGUGCACUUUGGGUGUACUUGCUCGUGUGGUAGGUUAACAUCAAUUUUGAUCAUCAUAAAAUGAUUGAAGGAAUGUAGCUUCGAUCUCGUAUUGAAGUGUUAUAGCCUUUGGUAGAUGUGAUGAUCGGGAUUGAGGAUUGCAACGGAUACCCUUCGGGGCUACCCGUCUGAUCUCUGAAAGUUGCUCUGGUGCUGAAAGCUUGCUUAUGGUAUCAAAGUUGACGUUCAAUAGGUUAGAACGGGGUAAAUUCGUUAAGGAUGUUGACGUA
rnacentral:rRNA from 1 species